GACUUCCGGGUAAACAUGGCUACAAUCUAGACGCGAAUCGAUUCCUUUCCCCAGCACCGAGCGAAAUAGACUAUCUCAAAAGAGCAUAAAAAUCACCUUUGGAAGAACGGAGGGACUCUCCAGUAUCCCACAGUAAUGAAGCUCCUAGUCAAGCACUCAAGAAACACUUAUGGAACUGAAGUGAAUUAUGAAGGGCUGGUGGUGGUAUAAUGGAAAGAGCUCUGGAUUAGAAGUCAGCACCAACUAGCUGUCAGACAUUAGGGCGCUUCUAUAAAGGCGCUUCUUGGAAAGCUCCACCAGGGGGAAUCUGAGGUCGUUCAACACUUGCACCUUGUUGAUGGAGGCCAAUGGUUUGUGUCGGUGCUCGUACUGUGCCACCUUGUUCUCUUGGAUGAAGACAUGGAAAUAUUCUGAAUCUGAAAAGAUUUCAAUCUGAAAGACAAGCAAAUCAGUGCAGGCUCCUAGCAGCAAAAGCAUUAUCUUUCCCUUCCCUAUCUCAACAAUCUUCUCUCUCUUAUUGACAUGCAAGCACAAUGCCUGGCAUUUCAUAGGGGCUUUAAAAAUGCUAGUUGAAUGAAUGAAUGCACAAACAAAUGCUACUUUUCCCCAACCAGACCACAAAAGGACAAUGGAAACGGGUUUGAAUCUCGCUUCUGACAAACACUGCCUAUAUAACCCUGAGCAAAUCUUUAGCUUUUCAGUGCCUCAGGAAGGACUUUAAAACUACAAAUUGCAGAGUAGUUGUCAAUCUUCACCAGUAGAAGGAUUUUCUGGGGAGGAGAAUUUAAGGAAGGGAGUUCCCCUAUACCAAUAAAAUCACAGAUAUCAACCAAAACAACAAGAAAAUGAGAUUAGAAGCUCCUUAUUCAGUUGUUUCAAUCAUGUCUGACUCUUUGUGACCCCAUUUAGGUUUCUUUUUUUCUUAUUGUACUUUGGUUUACUAAUGCAUAGAAUUGUAUUUACUCAUGAUGCCUCUUGAGAGAAGGGAUCUUUUACUUCUUUGUAUCCUCAGAGGUUGAGACAGCUAAGUGACUUAAAUCCAGAAAGAUUCAUCUUCCUGCAUUUAUAUCAGACAUUUAUUUGCCUGGUGACCUUGGGCAAGUCACUUAAUCCUACUUGUCUCAGUUUCCUCAUCUGUCAAAUGAGAAGGAAAUGACAAACCACUCCAGUAUCUUUGCCAAAAAAAUCCUAAAUAAAAUCACGAAGAAUCAGAUAUGAUUGAAACAACUGAACAAAAACAAAAUUCCCAUUACUUAACAUAUUGUCAUACUUGUAGUAGGAGCUCAAUAAAUGUUGGUUCAUCAACAUAAUGAAUAAUAAGAUUAGAACCUGUUGGUUCAUCCUUUCCUCACAGGACAGGUACCCAAAGUCAUAUUAAGUGUUCAGUUUUACAAAUGGGGAGACCAAGGCACUAGGAAGUUAAGGAACUGAGUCCAAGAUGAAGGGGAAGACAGCAAUCAAUUCAGCAAUGGUGGUCAAACCUUCAGAUCUCUCACCAUUAGCCUUGAAAUCUUCCCAGGCUAACUUCACCUAAUGACUUACUCUCUCCUUUUGGACACUUAAAGACCCAAGUCAGUUUUCUGCCUACCAAGAUAAGCAGAGGGAUACCAUUAACCAUAUAUACUGAGCUAGGCACCUUUCUAGUAUCAGGAGGUAGGAAGAAACAAUGGUUUCUAAGAUAAGAAGAGGAAGAAGAUAAGAGAAAGAUUUCCAACCACACUGAAUGACACUCUACAUCUUUCCACUAUGUACACUGUAGAUAACUAUUUAGAGAGAGGAGCAUGCUAUAGAGGGGAAUGUGCUGGGCUUAUGUUGGAUUUCUGCUUCUGUCCCUUUCCAAGUGGUGUGAGUGGGAAAAUAACUUUAACACACUGAGCCUCUUGAGGUCUCCUUAUCUGGGAAUGGAUAGCAAUUGUUGUGCCACCCAUUUUACAGGGUUUACAAGUGUAUAUAUGUAUAUAAAAUAUUUUACAGGAUUUACAAGUGUAUAUAUGUAUAUGUAUAUAUGUAUAUAAAAUACAUAUAAUUGCUAUAUGAAUUUGAAUGAUUAUUACAGUACUCCCUGGGCUCCCCUCCUGCCCACUUGUUACCUAUGGGAAGUUUUCCUGGAACCUUGUCUUAAGAACUCUCUUGGGACCCUAGUGAGGAUGACAAGAAUUGUUUAGGCAAAAUUUGUGAAGUCCUUACCCAGUUGGCUUUGAGAAAGCUCUGUGGGAUCUUGAAGGGCACUGUUACUCUCUGAGAAACCAUCUUUGUUUAUCACCACCCCAUUCUGUUGACAGGGAGGAAGGGAACCUGUUCUUACCUCAAAGGGUUCUUUUAGUUCCAGAGGGAAGACAUUGAAAACUUCCUCUUCACCCCAAUGACUGGUCUGGAAGGAGUUGCAGACCAAGGUGGCAUUGGAGAACCGGGGUUUGAAGUGGAAAGCGAUGUCACCUGACUCAGAGAGGAAGUUUAUUUCAAACCUAUUGGAGAGGAAAGAAAGCUACCAAGAGGAAGGUACUUGACACCCCUUCCCCUCCCAACUUCCCUUGGUUUCCUAGACCCUACAUCCCAUUCAGUCCUAGAGUAUGUCUGAGGUCCUCCCAAAGACAGUCUCAAUUUGCAAUGGCAGCACUUGGCACCCUGCCAUUGUCCCUUGUUUCCUCUUGGACAUUUAUGUGGGGAGGCAGGAGGGAGAGGCAUGAGGAAAGAAAUUUCUCUUACUCAUCAUCUUUGGAGUUGGUCUGACCCUGGACCAUCAGACUCCAGCCUGGGACCAGGCCACCUGAGCAAAAGGCUUCAAACUGUGAAUGGAAAGAGAAAGAGGGAAGAGCUGGAGUACUGAUGGGAUCCUUCUCCCCAUUCCCCAAUAAAUUCAUCAAUAAUCGAUAAACAUCUAGUAAGUGAUUAUGAUAUGCAAGUGAUGAAUCAGAUGGGAAAGAAAGCCAGAAACAGCCUUUGUCCUAGAAGCAUACAUCCUGAUGGGUCAGACAACACACAUAAAUAAAUACAUACAAAAUAAAUACAGACUAUAUACAAAAAUGCCUUACUGGGGAAGGCACUGGCAGUGGGGGAAGUGCAAAGGCUUCAUUCAUCAUUCAACAAACAUUUAUUAAGGGUGCACCAUUUGCUGGGCAUUGGAUACAUAAUAAACAGCUCACAUUAUGGUUUGUAUUAUAAUUAUGUUGAUGUGUGUGUCUGCUUCUAUUCUUCCAGUCAGUAAAAUUGCAAUAAAAUGUCAAGAAUAAAUUUAAUUGACAUUCCUA